rnacentral:lncRNA from 1 species
UUGAUUUACAAUGUUUCAUCAAGUUCUGCUGUACAACACAGUGACCCCAUCACACAUACUCCCCUGUGCUGUACUGUAGGGUCCCAUUGCCCAUCCAGUCCAAUUAUAUCAGUGUGCAUCGAACCCCCCGCAAAAUGCCCACCCAUCCCACUCCCUCCCCUUUCCCCCUUGGGAACCCCAAGUCUGCUCUCCUUAGCCAUGAUCUGUUUCUGUUUUUUGUGGGGUUUUUUGUGUGUUUUAUAAGAUAGGAUCAUCUGUGCCAUAUUUUAGAUUCCACAAAUAAGUGCUAUCAUAUGGUAUUUGUCUUUUUCUUUCUGGCUUACUUCACUUAGUACGAGAGUCUUUAGUUCCAUCCAUGUUGCGGCAAAUAGCAUUACUUUGUCUUUUUUAUGGCUGAGUAAUAUUCCAUUGUGUAUAUGUACCAUAUCUUCUUAAUCUAUUCAUCUGGUGCUGUGUGUGCUCAGGCUGCCUCUCCAGGCUCACAGUGGAAGGAGACGCCCAGGCUGCAGAAAGGGUGGCAGCAGAGCAGGGACCAGCCCCUGGGAGCCUUCUCCCAGCCAAGCACUCCCCAGCAGACUGUGGUGUGCCUAGGGCUGCACCAAAAUUCCCCAGAGACCAGGGCUGAGCCAGAGUGGUCAGUGGCCAAGUGGUUCUCCCUGGCCCACCCGCCCAGCCCUCAUGCCCAGGGAUGGAGAGCAUGGGGUCUUGUCAUGUCUGGCAAAUGGAAGCUGCCACUCCGAGGGGGCUUUGUUAGUUUAGAACCAGGAAGGGUUUUCUGUGGGAGGAGGGGAGAAGCUCAUAGACCCAAUCAGAGAACCCCCUAAACCAGCCAGCACUAGUGGCUACAGACACAAACCCCAGUCCCUCAAUUCAGUGUGGCCACCUGGUCCUCGGCCAGCCCAAUUUCUGCACUCGGAGAAUAGAGGCAGCCUGCCCAUUGCCUUGGUCCAGAGCCUCCUUCCACCCUUGCCAGGAAGCCCUGCCAGAAAAGCAGGGUGACAUUGGUAUCUCCAGAAAGCUGGGUGACCUUGGAUAAGUCGUGUAACCUCCCUGAGUCUCAUUCUAUCAUAUGGGGCUCUUUGCACAGACCUUACAUGUGGCUGUGAGGCUUGAGUGAGAGAAGUGUGCGCGGGGCUUGAUUCUGCACCUGGCACAUGGCAGGAGCUCAGCUGUGUGCCCGCGUCAUCUGCACCCCCAGUGGGGGCCUGAUGCAGGCAGGGUUCUGUCACCAGGCACCUGGCCUCAUGCUGGGCACUGGGAGGAAGAGGCCGGGGGUUGGGCGGGGGUGGCUGCCUGGGAAGAGGGGGCCCCAGAGGCUCUGCUCCCCUCAGGGUGAGAUGGGGAAACUGGCCCUGAGAGAGUGAGUGACUUGCCCAGGGUCACGCAGCAAGCCAGUGCCAGUCUCUGCCAGCUUAUGGGCCUCAGUGUUCUCACCGGUACAAUGGCUCCUCUCCUUGGCUGACCUUGAGAGGUCAGCCGGGAAGGAGAGGAAAGGGCUCUUGCCAGAAACGCAGAAGCUUCUUCCUGCUCCCCUUUGCGAUCCUGGGUCCCAGGAUCCAGAGCCGAUGGUAAGGGACUAUCUCAGGCCACCGCAUGAAGUGCCCCCACCCGGGGCUCUCUGGCUGAGGGCUGUGUGGGAGAACGGGCCGGCUCCCUUUCCUCCACGCUCACCGGGACUGGUGGAGGGGCCGAGGGGCCGAGGGGCCAAUGCCGCCCCGUGGCAUUCAUGAGCAGGGUGCCCUGAUGUCCCCAGGGGGCUGGGGAGCAGCGUGCCUGCCCCCCCCCACUCCCAGAACAGUGUGCAUGCCUGUGACACACACUCCCACCCAGCUGGAAACCCUGCAGCUGGGACAGUCGUGGCCACACAGAGCAAUGAGGGACCUGGAGGCCGGGGGCCCAGCCUGAAUGAGACAGAGAGACAGAGAUGGAGCAAGACGGGCUCCCGCUCGUGCUCUGGCCCAGCCUGAUGAUCUGGGGGCCCCUUACCCAGGCUCAGCCUCACUUCCUCAUGCAUAAAGCGGGGACAUUAACCCUUUCUUGGUGGGAGAGUUUACAUGUGAGUUGAGGGGAGUGGACCUCCAUACUAUUAAAGAACUUUUUGGGAGCGCCCGUCGGGGCUCAGCGAGGGGUGCCCCCCGCCCCCGCCCCUGCCCCGCAGCCUUCACCUCUCUUGGCCUCUCGUUGUCCCUCAGUUCCACGGGGAGCCUGGAUGGAGGGUCCAGAGGCUUCCUCUUGCUCUUAAAGAUCGCCUGUCACCUCCGCGGUGGGGAAGGAAGGGCCCGGCAGGGUUGAGGAGGAGCAGCCACACAACAUUAGAGGGUUGCCUGGGUCCCAGAAGUGAGAUUCCGGGGUUCCCAGAAAGGCUGCCAUGUCCAGUAAAGCCAUCUGGAGCAGCCUGGAGCCGGGCCAGGCCGGCCGGGCUGGAGAUGAAUAGGGCUCCAGGGAUGGGGCAGGGGGUAGCGGGUGGGGAAGGGUCUGUCACCCCCACCACGCGGGGGGAGCCGGGCAGGCGGGAGGAGCCGAGUCUAAAUAAAUCACCAACACACGGAGGGAGGAGAAUUUCUCGAACAGGCGCCCUGGAUUAUGGACAUCAGGAGGGGAGAGGUGGGGGGUCGUUCGUGGGACCCCGUUCCUCUCAGGCACCCUGGCCCUUCCCCCCCCCUAAAUAUAGCAGGGGCUGUGAGUGUCUGAGGACCGGCCGCCUCCAGGGUGGGGGGAGCCUUGGUUGGGGGCCUCCGCUGCCCAGGCCCGGCCCCUUCAUCCCUGCUGUGAGAAACUCAAAAAGCCCCGGGCCCGACCGAGGGGAGAGAGGUGUUGAAAGCCGCAUCCUGCUCCGAGGCCUGAGCCAAGGCCAGAGAUAAUAUCAUGCGCUCACCCCCCCUCCCCGCGCUCCGCACCC